GUCUAGGGCCAUACCACCCUGAACGCGCCUGAUCUCGAAAGCUAAGCAGGGUCAGGCCUGGUUAGUACUUGGAUGGGAGACUGCGUGAACUGCAGCACGCUGGGCC
ensembl:rRNA 5S_rRNA 5S ribosomal RNA